ensembl:misc_RNA 7SK 7SK RNA
GGAUUUGAGGGUGAUCUGGCUGCGACAUCUGUAAUCCCAUUGAUUGCCAGGGUUGAUUUGGCUGAUCUGGCUGGCUAGGUGGAUGUACCCUUCCUCCCUCAUCACUCCAUAUGCAUCCCUCCCAAAGCUACAUGCUCAAUAGAAGAGGAGACCAUCCCCGAUAGAGGAGGACCAUUCUUCUCAGUCAAAGGUAUACCAGUAGCUGCAGUUCCCUGCUAGAACCUCCAAACAAGCUUUCAAAAAGCAGGAGUGGUUUGGAACCACAAGAUGUGAAGAUAAGAUCACCCUGGGG